rnacentral:rRNA from 1 species
UACAGAGGGUGCUAGCGUUGUUCGGAAUCAUUGGGCGUAAAGGGCGUGUAGGCGGUUUUGUUAAGUCAUGUGUGAAAUCCCUCGGCUCAACCGGGGAACGACGCAUGAAACUGGCAGCUAGAGUACCAAAGAGGGGGGUGGAAUUCCCGGUGUAGCGGUGAAAUGCGUAGAUAUCGGGGAGGAACACCUGUGGCGAAGGCGGCCCCCUGGUUGGAUACUGACGCUGAGACGCGAAAGCGUGGGGAG